rnacentral:rRNA from 1 species
GACGAACGCUGGCGGCGUGCUUAACACAUGCAAGUCGAACGGAAAGGCCCUGCUUGCAGGGUACUCGAGUGGCGAACGGGUGAGUAACACGUGGGUGAUCUGCCCUGCACUUCGGGAUAAGCUUGGGAAACUGGGUCUAAUACCGGAUAGGACCGCACUUCAGUGUGUGUGGUGGAAAGUUUUUUCGGUGUAGGAUGAGCUCGCGGCCUAUCAGCUUGUUGGUGGGGUAAUGGCCUACCAAGGCGGCGACGGGUAGCCGGCCUGAGAGGGUGUACGGCCACAUUGGGACUGAGAUACGGCCCAGACUCCUACGGGAGGCAGCAGUGGGGAAUAUUGCACAAUGGGCGCAAGCCUGAUGCAGCGACGCCGCGUGGGGGAUGAAGGCCUUCGGGUUGUAAACUCCUUUCGCUAGGGACGAAGCUUUUUGUGACGGUACCUAGAUAAGAAGCACCGGCUAACUACGUG